rnacentral:rRNA from 1 species
GACGAACGCUGGCGGCGUGCCUAAUACAUGCAAGUCGAACGCAGUGGGGACGGGUGAUUAACACGUGGGUAACCUCCCAUCAGAGGGGAUAACACUUGGAAACAGGUGCUAAACCGAUACUGAUGGAGGGUCCCGUGGGUCAUUAGCUAGUUGGGGAGGUAACGGCUCACCAAGGCCACGAUGCAUAGCCGACCGGAGAGGGGGAUCGGCCACAAUGGAACUGAGACACGGCCCAGACUCCGACGGGAGGCAGCAGUAGGGAAUCUUCGGCAAUGGACGAAAGUCUGACCGAGCAACGCCGCGUGAGUGAAGAAGGUUUUCGGAUCGUAAAACUCUGUUGUUAGAGAAGCGGUAUCUAACCAGAAAGCCACGGCUAACUACGUGCCAGCCGCCGCGGUAAUUC